GCUGUGUAUAUCAGUGCUCCAUCAUUUUUUUCCUCAAAUAUUGAAGAUAGUUUAGUCUCUUUACCUUCUUCACACGAAGGCGAGGCGUUUAUCACAAUCGCUUUUUCUUGAACGACGACUGCUACAAAAGUUGUUGUCUCUAUCCCUCAACUUGUCAUCGUUUCAAGGACAUUUGGUUAAGUGAUAAAUCAUCUUCGUCCCAGUCUCUUCCCCUCUUGGAUGGAAUCCUAGUCAAUUCGGAUUCCUACAAAAUGAGAUGCAUGGUUUAUAUAAUUAAUUAAGAACUCCCUCAUGCAUAUUAAAAAAUCAUUUACCGUUUA